rnacentral:rRNA from 1 species
GUCUACGGCCAUGCCACCCUGAACGAGCCCGAUCCCGUCUGAUCUCGGAAGCUAAGCGGGGUUGGGCCUGGUUAGUAGUACUUGGAUGGGAGACCACCUAGGAAGACCAGGUGUUGUAGGCA